UACGUAGGGUGCAAGCGUUGUCCGGAAUUAUUGGGCGUAAAGAGCUCGUAGGCGGUUUGUCGCGUCGAAUGUGAAAACCCGGGGCUCAACCCCGGGCCUGCAUUCGAUACGGGCAGACUAGAGUUCGGUAGGGGAGUCUGGAAUUCCUGGUGUAGCGGUGAAAUGCGCAGAUAUCAGGAGGAACACCGGUGGCGAAGGCGGGACUCUGGGCCGAUACUGACGCUGAGGCGCGAAAGCCAGGGGAGCAAACGGG
rnacentral:rRNA from 1 species